AUGCUCACUUUGCAACACAUAUACUAAAACUGGGACAAUACCAAUAAGAUUAGCAUAGUAGCUACACAAGAAUGACACGCAAGUUCGUGAAGCGUUCCAUUUAAAA
ensembl:snRNA U6 U6 spliceosomal RNA